UGUCGUCAGCUCGUGUUGUGAAAUGUUGGGUUAAGUCCCGCAACGAGCGCAACCCUUAUCCUUUGUUGCCAGCGGUCCGGCCGGGAACUCAAAGGAGACUGCCAGUGAUAAACUGGAGGAAGGUGGGGAUGACGUCAAGUCAUCAUGGCCCUUACGACCAGGGCUACACACGUGCUACAAUGGCGCAUACAAAGAGAAGCGACCUCGCGAGAGCAAGCGGACCUCAUAAAGUGCGUCGUAGUCCGGAUUGGAGUCUGCAACUCGACUCCAUGAAGUCGGAAUCGCUAGUAAUCGUGGAUCAGAAUGCCACGGUGAAUACGUUCCCGGGCCUUGUACACACCGCCCGUCACACCAUGGGAGUGGGUUGCAAAAGAAGUAGGUAGCUUAACCUUCGGGAGGGCGCUUACCACUUUGUGAUUCAUGACUGGGGUGAAGUCGUAACAAGGUAACCGUAGGGGAACCUGCGGUUGGAUCACCUCCUUACC
rnacentral:rRNA from 1 species